AGGCGCCGGAAUGCAGCCAAGGAUGACUUGCCGGCGAACACUCGUUUAUAUGUGUGUAUGAGGUUUACAUGUAAAUGAGGUGAUUGGCAAGUCAUUCUUGGCUACAUUUCUGCCUCA
rfam:Ipomoea nil DNA, scaffold: scaffold1026, cultivar: Tokyo-kokei standard.